GCAUGUUUUCUGUGAUGCACACAAUGAAUUAAUGUGAUGGUAGCUGUUAAGACACUUACAUUUAACAUUCAAAUGUUUUAAAAACCAAACGUGUUCAGGUUUUUAUGCGUAUUUGGUUUGUGAAGUGUAAUUUAUGCUUUUUUCCUUCCCCUCACAGAUAACCAUGGUUAAUAAAUGGUCCGUUAUGACACGUCACUGGCUUUAAAAUAUAAACCCCAUUGAUGCAAAAAGAUGCUGCAUGGAAUGACAAUGAGGUUUGGAACAGACUUGGUGAAGAACAUGGAAACAUCUCUAAAUAACAUGGCCCCAACCAUCAUCAGGAGUGCAAAAGAAUGAAGUAAAAAACAUCUCUACGCCAAUCUCAUUGGAACAGCAGAGGAAACCACAGAAGGUCUGGUGAGGAAUGCUGCACUUAUGUUAUUGCAAGCAUUAUUUUAAGAAAAUCCCAGCUUCCUUUGCUGUGUAAAUAGUGAACCCAAAGGUCCCACACCAACCAUAGUGUUCAAUGGCUCUCCUGAUCCUCUCAAAUCUCAAAGUAUCAACUUUAUAAUGGACAAUGUGAACAUAAUAUGUGGAAGACAUUGACAUCACAGGCUGUGGAAUGACUGUUUGCGGGUUUUUUUCUCUUCAAUGUUCAAUACCCUUUUGCCAUUAAGCACACAGUGACUUUAAUUUAUAAAAUAUAUGCUUAAAUUUAAAUACCUGUACAAAACAAAUGUACAAUCAA